rnacentral:lncRNA from 1 species
UUUAAGGUCCUUGUAUUAACUUUGAAGACUCUGGUACUUUUUUCAGCAUUUUAGAGAGACAUGAUUCAACAUCAGAACGAGAUAGGUUAGAAAAUACCUCUUCAGAAUUGGAGUCGGAUUCUAAUUCUGAUAGUACCUUGUCUUUUGGUUCUUCAGAAAUUGUGGGAUACAUUGUAGUUGCCAUCAGUACAAUGUUGGCUUUUU